UAUCAAUUGGGCUUGGGUACCCCAUAGUC
rnacentral:piRNA from 1 species